rnacentral:lncRNA from 1 species
UUACUCAUCAUUUCAAAUUUAUAAAAGAAGUAUGAUAUAAGGUUAAUUGAUUUUCAUUUGAAUUUCAACCAUAUUUGUAAAUGCAUUUUAAUUAAUACCAUAUUCCAAAUUUUUUUAAAGUCACACCUCAUUUGCAAAGCAUAUUUGAAAUUAUACUACAUUUGAAAAGCCAUUUGAAAUGAUAGCACAUUUGUAAAACUCUUUUGAAUUAUUACCACAAAUGCUAAGCUCUUUUAAAUUCAUUUGUAAAAUGCUUUUGAAUUAAUACUACAUUUAUAGAACUCUUUUGAGUUAAUACCACAUUUGUAAAACACUUCGAUCUUUUUGAAAUCAUCCCAUAAUGAAAUCACUUUUGAAUUUAAACUAUAUAUCAGACCUCUUUUAAUUCCAUACUACAUUAAAAAUAAUGGUUAAUUUUUUAUUAAGUUUAAAUCAAACCUAUGUGGUAGCUAGAUUUGUUAACUUCGUUAAGUUUACGGGCUCAAAUUCGAUAAAAGUACAAAGAAGCCCGCCAUAAUAUUGUUGUGGUACUUGCAUCCAAUUUGAUACAAUUUGAUUUUGUCCGGGCUAUUUUGAAAUUUUUGAUUGAACGACUAUCUUUGAUCAAUUUUGGUUCGGCUUGUGUCAUUUCAAAUCCAACUAAAACCUGAAAUUACUAUGCAAAAAAGUAAAUCCAAAAUUUAUUUGUAAUCAUCAAAAUUAUCAUUGCAUAAAAUCCAACACGUGGUGCUAUAGAGUCAUUUUCGAUGAUAUAGUAUCCAAAUUGAUAAUUGACACUGUUGAAGAUUGACGUCCUAGGACUACUCCCAUCCUAUCAUACUUAACUCUUUUAAUCUUUUGGACCUAGUCACCACCCAAAAUGAUUAAGAUGGAUUGAGAGUUUUAACCCUAUUAUAUCUUAUAUAUAGAACUACCUGGGGUCUCACAUUCUCCUUGCCUUAAGCCCUGACGUCCUCGUCAGGCUGAGACUCACAAGUACGAGGCGAUGUAAGACUCGUCUCGCUAACCUAAACCGACCUUAUGGUGAGUUGCGCUCCACCCAUAACAGUCAACAGCAUGAGAGCCUCGCUCUCCCCGUUGUACAAUCUUUGCUCAACCGAGACUAAUCUCAUACUUCCAGCUGGUAAUUAGCUCUGAUUCCAACUGUGACGCCCCACUUUCCAAAGCGUCACCCAUCCUAGGAUUACUCUAGUCCUAGCACGCUUAACUCUCUUAACCUCUUAGACCUAACUACCGCCCAAAAUGCUAUAGCGGGGUUAAGAGGUUUUAGCCCUAUUAUAUCUUACAUAUAGGACUACUUAGGGUUUCACAUUCUCUCAUUCUUUAAGCCUUGAUGUCCUCGUCAAGCUCAGACUCACAAGUAUCAGUCAAUGUAAGAUUCUGUCUCUGAAGCCUAAACCAACUAUGUGGUGAGCUGCGCUUCACCCAGAAUAGUCAUCAGCAUAAGAGCCUCGCUCUCGCCGCUGUAUAACCUGGCUCAGCCGAGACUUAUCUCACAUUUUCGGCUGGUAAUUGGCUCUAAUACCAACUAUGACGCCCCACUUCCUAAGGGGUCACCCCUAAUCCUAGCACGCUUAACUCUCUUAACCUCUUGGGCUGCACCUACUGCCCAAAAUGCUAUAUCCGGGCUAAAAGGAGAAUGAAACUGUUUUAACGGGAGAAGAAACUAUAACGCCCCAAAAUUUGACUAUAAAUGUUUAAAAAGAUUUCAAAAUAAUUUUAGAGGAUGAUGGCCAGUUUUAUAUGAUUUUGAACUCAAAUUGAGUCAAAAUGAAUUGUUUGAGGACGAAAAUUUCAAAACAGUUGAGUCUAAUCUGCCAUUGCACAAAUAGCCAUUUUGGAAAAACUUUUAACUAGGUUAUUGACAUCAGAUUUGGGCAAAAUUGGUCUCAUUGGAAAGAUCGUUGAGUUAUCUUUCUAACGCAACGUGAAUCUCCUUAAACGGAUAUCGGACGAAAGAGUUAUUUCAAUUUUUCUGACAGUCGUCGAUGCAGUCCUGAGCUUUGAGCUAGUUUGGGACUUUACCAUUUGUUAUGGGCUGUUUGGUAAAUUUGCUAAUUAAAAUUAUAACAUAUCAACUUAGGUGGUUAACUAUUAGUCCAACCAUAAUUUUUUCCAAGAAAAUGUUGAGUAAAAUGACUGAAACUCUUUUAAAUGGGCUGGUUUGAAUGGGAGAAGAGAAAAACUGUUUUAUUCCUAUUCUCAUCUUCUUUUUCCUAUUUUCCCUUCCUCUCAAUACCCUAGUUCUUCUCUCUUUUAUUCAGCAAUGAGAAGAAGGAUUUCUCCUUCAAAUUGAAGGAAUUUAGAAGGAGACUUUUGGAGAAGGAAACCCAUUUUCAAGUUAAAACUCUAGCUAGAGAACAAAGUAAGUAGAUUUUCGAUUUUGUACUUUGUAAAUAUCAAAGAGUGAAUAUUUUACGUUGCAUGCAUGUUUUUCUAUUCUCUUUGAAGGUCCCAAUCUAUCUUUUAUGAAUUGACUAUAGUUUUUGAAGAUUUUAUGACACUAUAUUCAAAUAUUGAAGCCCUAAAUUAGGGGUUUAUGCCCUAUUACGAGAUUUCCUUGUAAUUUUAGGGUUGGGACCCUAAGAGCCCAAGAUGAGAUCUUGAUCGUUAACUUUUAGUUCUUUCAACUUGAAUUUGGAGGCCAAUAUAUAGUUAUAUGAAUUGCCUUUGUUUUUAAGAGUUUUUGAUGAGUUACUUGUGUUUUAUGAGGCUUCAAAAUUGGGAUUUUGAUCAACUAGGAGAUUAAACUUUUAUAGUUGAUUUUAAGAGUUUAAAAUACUUAAAUUGAGAUGUCAAUCUUGUUCAAAUGUAUUGGAAAUGAAUGUAUGAUUGAGCUAAGUUGUUUGAUCAAAUUUGAACUUAGUUUGUUAAUAUUUCGUCCAAUUUAUGCUAUUUUCAAGUUGGACUUUUCCGAUUAGUUUUCGGAGGGUAAAAACAUCUUGUUAAGGUGUCGUUUGUUAAAAUUAAGUAUUCCAAACCCUUCUAUAGGAUUUAAAUGAGUUAUUUUAAGGUUGUUAUCUAUUUUGAGAGAGUUAAGCAUGCUAGGACUAGAGUAGUCCUA